GGGCGUUCUGGAUGCUGUCAGGAUCCUGGGCGGUCACACAGAAGAUGGAAGCUCCCCUGGGGUUGUUUUCGGGAAUGUAGGCCGAAUAGGAGGCCUGACUGAAAGCAGGAACAAGGAAAUGGUGGACAAGCUCGCCAGCCCCGUUUUCCUCCUUGAGUGGUCAGCAGCGACACUCAGAGGCCUAAUGGUUUACUGCACCCUUUCAGAUAAACCCAACUCUCCUGGCUGAGGAGCAUGUCGGCAUAGUUGGGCUGGGGGAAGAUCACGUGACUCUCCCUGGAGUCCGCGGUGAGGGAGACCUCG